rnacentral:tRNA from 1 species
GCCUGGGUGGCUCAGUCGGUUGAGUGUCCGACUUCGGCUCAGGUCAUGAUCUCGCAGUUCGUGGGUUCGAGCCCCACGUCGGGCU